AACGGAUAGAGCAUCUGACUACGGAUCAGAAGGUUGGGAGUUCGAAUCUCUUCGGGCGCG
rnacentral:tRNA from 1 species